ensembl:processed_transcript
GAGCCAGAGAGAGGAGAUACACGAUGAUGUCAACACGGCAGUGAUCCGUUCGGUUUGGCAGACGCAAGGCCUUUUUUUAACCCAUCGAUUCCUCGAUAUUAAUAGUAGCGGUCCGGGGGGAUUGUGGAAGUAAUGUUGAGCUUGAUCUCGGAGGUGGUCGUGCUGUCGGCUCUGUCCUUUAAGGCGCAUUGCAGCUUUGCUCAAGGACUCUAGUGAUCAUCUGCAGCAUCCGGAGGAGUCCAGAUCCUACUGGCUGUUUGACCAGAGAUCAAGAGACAUGGAGAGUCUUAGCCACACCUCUGCUUGUCUGCAUUUGUGAGCUGGGUUUGAGUCAGGAGGACCAUGCUCAGCUCAGAGCGAAGUGUGGUUGAGGAAUGGCUCUCGGAGUUCAAGGCGUUACCUGACGAGCAGAUCCACCGCUAUUCUGGCAGUCUGCGUCUGAAGAAAGCUCUGGUUCCUGCUCUCUAUGCUGUUAUUCAGGAGCAGCCCAGCAGUGAGCUGCUGGCUCCAGUGUGUCAUCAGUUGUUUGAGUUGUACCGGAGCUCAGAGGAGGGUUUGCGGCGCUUCACACUGCAGUUCCUGCCUGAACUCAUCUGGGUGUACUUGAGUCAUUCAGCCAGCAGAGAGCGAUACCGCAAUGGCUGUGUGGAGGCCCUGCUGUUGGGGAUCUAUAACCUGGAAAUUGUGGACGGUAAAGGAUAUAGCAAGCUGCUGUCAUUCACCAUCCCUUCCCUUUCCAAGCCUUCAAUAUACCAUGAGCCAUCCAGCCUGGGGUCCAUGGCGCUGACUGAAGGAGCCCUGAACCAACAUGACCUCAUUCGGGUGGUGUACAGCGGUCUGCUGUCUCAGCGAGAGACUUUCACCUCACAGAACAGGUUUGAGGUGCUGUCAUUUCUAAUGCUCUGCUACAACUCAGCCGUGGUCUUCAUGCCUGCGUCGUCCCACCAAUCGGCUUGCAGAAUGAGCACACGGCUGUGUGUGAGCGGAUACCCACGACAGCAGAUGAAGUCCUGGAAGGAGCCUUGUAACCGUGUGCGGUUGGAGCCAGAGUUUAUGGUGCAGAUGCUGAGUGCCGUUUACUAUGCCAUUUAUAAUGGCCAGUGGGACCUGGGGAGAGAAGCUUUGGAUGACAUCCUCUACCGAGCACAGCUAGACCUCCAUGCCCAACCAUUACUGGUGGCAAAUGCAAUUAGCCGCUCUCUUCCAUCCCGUCCUCCAGAGGGCUCACGGAAUCUUCUGGAGGUGGAAGUAACACCUGCUGGGAGAUGCGUCUCUUAGGCUGCUGUCACUGCCGCCUCCAUUCGCCGCCUCCGUUGGAAACGAGAAGAUUGUUUUGAUUUCUCAACCACGGCUGAAUUCUACGCCUCCGUCACCCCCAGCCGAUACACCCCUCCCACGGAGAGAGCCGACAAUCCUGUGCCAUGCGGGCGGAUAAAGUGCACCAUUCAGCUAACCUUGCAAGGGGAUGCAGACGGCGUGAGCUGUGGCGAGGACUCUUUUGACCCAGAUGAAGGCUUUUCCUCUGGGGCUUCCAGCAGCAGUCAGCCUAGCAGUGUGAAACGUGACUGGAUCAUCACCGGCGUUCGACCUUCCAGAGAGCCAGGAGCCAGACACAGGGAGAGCACGUCCGCGGACACCCGAGCCGCCCUGAGAAGCCUCCACCAACGCCACCAAUCCCCUCCUCCAGCCGUCAGCCUCCGGACUGCAGAAUGCAGCCGCAGUCCCAGUCCCAGCGCUCCCAGACGCUUUCUAGACCCGCAUUACAUCCCUCCGUUCGCUGGUGCUCCUCCCAAAGCCAGCAGCACAUCUUCUAGCAAGUCUCUUGACUGUACCGGCCUCAACGGCUCAUCAGGACCCACAGAUAGCCUAUCGCUGGGAAGCCUCAGUGCGGACAGGGCUCACUAUCUGUCCGCCAUCAGCCUGCAGGAGGAGCGUCUAGGCCGAUCGGCACGCAGCCAGGAUCUCCUUUCCCCGGGGAGUCCGUUUUCCUCUGGAAGCCCAUUGUCCAAACAGUCCAGAUCACCCAGUUUUAAUAUGCAGAUUAUAUCACAGGUGUAGAGUUAUUUUAGUGGGCUGUGUGUAUGGCAAGCUGCUUUAACCUUAAUUCCUUCAACAUGCUAUUGGUGCUUAUGUUUUGCUACUGGUAUCUUUUCCAUUAGGUAGUAGUGCUUAUUCUAUAUUUGUACUAGUACCAGAUCUGGUUCUAAUAGUUUUGUCUCAAUACUGAAUUUCGGAUCGAACCAUCAGUGAUCAGCUGGUCUGUCUAUGAGCUGACAUACGAGCAAUCCAAUGUGACUUUGAAAUGCUCCAGUGUCCACACGAACAGCUCAUGAACACAAUGGCCAAUCAGUGCUGUUUAAAAACACGCUCAUUUAAAAUUUUGGUAUCGAAAUUCAGUAUCGUGACAACACUAGGCACUAGUAGUUUUUAAGUUGUUUAUUAGAAGAUGGUGUGCAUUUAUUAGUUUUAGUUCCUGUUAAAUUGAUACUAGAACUUUGGGUAAUGCUGUAAUACUGUUCUGUCGUUAGUAGUAAUUUAGUUGUAGAAGUAACAACAUAUUUUUAGGGGUUCAGCUAUGUUUCAAUUCUAGCUAGUGUUGAAUUAUAUAUUUAAUUUAAAUCAUACAUUUAGCAACAAAUAUUUUGGUUAUUUAACCCUUAACAAUUUGGCCUCAUUUGUAAACAUUAUUUAAAAUGAACUAACUAUGAUCAAUAUCUUGUAAUGCAGGGGUCACCAAACUUGUUUCUGGAGGGCCGUUGUCCUGCAGAUUUUAGCUCCAAUCCUAAUCAAAUACACCUGAACAUGCUAAUCAAGGUCUUACUAGGUAUACUUGAAACAUCCAGGCAGGUGUGUUAAGGCAAGUUGGAGCUAAACCCUGUAGAGACACUGGGCCUCCAGGACUGAGAUUGGUCACCCCUGUUGUAAAGCAUUUCAUUUUUGUUGAUGUUAGAAAAACAUUGCUUGCUUGCUCAUAUUAACAAAUGCAGUUUUUUUUUUAUUGUAGCAAAUCUAGAAAAUAACAUGAUCUUAGAUUAAUAAACAUUACAGACGUUGCUCAUUGUUGGUUUCAGGUUAAGUUGAUAUAGUUAACUUGUUAACAAAUGAGACCUUUUUGUAAAGUGUAACAUUAUUAUGUACAAGUAAUCUUAUAUUUAGUAUCUAAUAUUCAUUUGAUACUUGUUCUCAUUUGUUAAAUACUAGAACUUUUCAUUAGAUACUUGCAGCUAUUACAUAGAUUCUAGUAAUUGGUCAUUAAUAUUAGGCUACUACUACACACGUAAAUACUACUAAUUCUAAAUCUUACUAAUGAGAUUUCUUUUUGUAUUACAAGUACAUAUAAAUAAAUGUAUUUAUUGUUGACUAGUAAGAUUUACUAGCAGUAAUUACAAAACAUAAGUACUCAGUGUUGUCACAAUAAUGAAUUUUGGUACCAAUCGGUACUGAAAUCUUUUAAAUGUCCAUUUCCCACGAACCUUGUGUGGUUCUUAAAUGGCGCUGCUUUGCUAUUACGUUACGUGCUCAACAGAAAUGACUGUGGUUGGCUGUGAAUGUCGUCAGUUCAACCAACUCUGUUUACUGAGCAUAAACAAUUACAGGGACCACUGGAACAUUUUAAAGCAGCGAAGAUUAGCUGGUAUGUUUAUGAGCUGACAUUAGAGCCACCCCCUGAUGAAUCGAAUGAUCUACAAGGCUUUAAAAUGCUCCAGUGUCCAUGUAUUGUUUUAAAAUUCCAGCAUUGAAUUGAUACUGAAUUCCAGUAUCGUGACAACACUAGUACUAAGGUCUAAUACGUACUACUAUAUAAAAAAUAACUGCGAGUGUCUAAAUACUUGCAAAUAUUUUUUAAACAAUGUGCUAAUCACAGCAUAAGUACUUGUUAAUGUUGUCACACUGAAUUUUGGUACUAAUUGGUACUGAAACCGGUACUAUGUAGUUAGUAUGUAAUCAUUAUCAAUCGAUCCCUGUAUCAUUUUUAAAAUUACACUACUGGAUUGGUACCAAAUUCCAGUUUCGUGACAAAACUAGUAUUUACGUCUAAUAUGUACUACUAUCUAAUAAAUCACUGCUAGUGUCUAAAUACUUGCAAAUAUUAAUUAAAAAAAUAUGUAAAUCACUACAAAAGUACUUAUUAGUGUUGUCACAAUACUGAAUUUUGGUACGAAUUGGUUUUGAAACCGCUACUAUGUAGUAGGUAAGAAAUAUUCAUUACCAAUCUGUCCCUGUAGCGUUUUUAAAAUUUCAGUAUCAAAUUGGUACCGAAUUCCAGUAUCACGACAACACUAGUACUAAUGUCUAAUACAUACUACUAUCUAAUAAAUCACUGCUAGUGUCUAAAUACUUCCAAAAGUUAUUUAAAAUUGUGAUAAUUACAACAUAAGUACUUAUUAGUGUUGGCACGAUACAAAAUUUUGGUACUAAAAUUGGUACUAUAUAGUAAGUGUUAAAUAUUCAUUACUAAUUGGCCUCUGUAUUGUUUUUAAAAUGUCAGUACUGAAUUCCAGUAUCAUGACAGCACUAGUACUAAUGACUAAUAUGUAUUACUAUCUAAAUAAAAUCACUGCUAGUGUCUAAAUACUUGUAAAUAUUCUUUAAAAAAUAUGCUAAACACAACAUAAGUACUUAUUAGUGUUGUUAUGAUACAAAAUUUUGGUACCAAUAAGUACUGAAAUUAGUACUAUGUAGUAGGUAAGUAAUAUGCAUUACUAAUCAGUCCCUGUAUAAUUUUUAAAAUUUCAUUACCGAAUUGGUACCGAAUUCUAGUAUCGUGACAACACUAGUACUUAGGUCUAAUACAUACUACUAUCUAAUAAAUCAUUGCUAGUGUCUAAAUACUUGCAAAUGUUAUUUAAAAAUGUGCUAAUCACAUCAUAAGUACUUAUUAGUGUUGUCACGAUACUGAAUAUCGAAACUGAAAUUUUAGAAAUGUCUCUUUCCCGCGAACAUGGAGCGUGUUCUUAAACACGAUGAAUUGACUGAUCGUCAAGACUUUAAAAUGCUACAGUGUCCAUGUAUCGUUUUUACAAUUUCAGUUCCGAAUUGAUACCAAAUUUCAGUAUUGUGACAACACUAGUACUAAGGUCUAAUACGUACUACUAUCUAAUAAAUAACUGCUAGUGUCUAAAUACUUGCAAUUAUUAUUCAAAAAUAUGGUAGUCACAAAACAAGUACUUAGUAUUGUUACGUUACUAAAUUUUGGCACCAAUUGGUACUGAAAUCGGUACUAUAUAAUAAGUAACUAAUAUUCAUAACCAAUCGGUCCCUGUAUCGUUUUUAAAAUUUCAGUAACGAAUUGGUACAGAAUUCUAGUAUCGUUACAACUCUAGUACUUAGGUCUAAUACGUACUACUAUCUACUAAAUCAUUGCUAGUGUCUUAAUACUUGCGAUUAUUAUUUUAAAA